rnacentral:rRNA from 1 species
GACGAACGCUGGCGGCGUGCCUAAUACAUGCAAGUUGAGCGAUGAAGAUUGGUUCUUGCACCAAUUUCGAGAGCAGCGCACGGGUGAGUAACGCGUGGGGAAUCUGCCUUUGAGCGGGGGACAACAAUUGGAAACGAAUGCUAAUACCGCAUAAUAACUUUAAACAUAAUGUUUAAGGUUGAAAGAUGCAAUUUGAUGACUCAAAGAUGAUCUCUCGUUGUUUUAGUUAGUUGGUGAGGUAAACGCUCACCAAGGCGAGGAUACCUAGCCAACAGGAUAGGGCGGUCGGCCAGAUUGGGAGGGAGACACGGCACAAAGGCCUACGGGAGGCAGCAGGAGUGAAACUUCGGGCAUGGGCGAGAGUCUGACCGCGAAACGCGGAGGGAGGGUAGAAGGUUUUCGGAUCGUAAAAGUCGGUUGGUAGAGAAGAAAGUUGGUGAGAGUGGAAAGCUCAGUAAGUGACGGUAACUACUCAGAAAGGGACGGCUAACUACGUG